UUUUUCACGGAAACUUUUUGCAAAUACUUUAAUCCAUUGAAAUAAAUCACUCUUCUUAGAGUACACUUCCGUCUCUGAAAGGUUCCAACCUCAUCCCCAAGGUAAUUGUUCCAAUAAUAUUUUUUUAAUUCAAAAGAUUUGUGUAGCAAAAAAUUUCGAAACCUUGGCGCUAAUUUGCCCACCAAUUCUCACACUAUCAAAUAUUUCGUUUUUCAUGUCGGGGACACAAUUUUUACGUAAGUUUUUUCGUAAUUUCCAGUCUAUAUAUAAUUCGUCUAAGCAAAAAAGUACUAAAUU